rnacentral:rRNA from 1 species
GACGAACGCUGGCGGCGUGCCUAAUACAUGCAAGUCGAACGCAGUGGGGACGGGUGAGUAACACGUGGGUAACCUCCCAUCAGAGGGGAUAAAACUUGGAAACUGGUGCUACACCGCUACGGAUGUAUGGACCCGCGGUGCAUUAGCUAGUUGGUGGGGGAACUGCUCACCAAGGCCACGAUGCAUCGCGGAGCUGAGAGGUGGACCGGCCACACUGGAACUGAGACACGGUCCAGACUCCUACGGGAGGCAGCAGUGGGGAAUCUUGCGCAAUGGACGCAAGUCUGACCGAGCAACGCCGCGUGAGUGAAGAAGGUUUUCGGAUCGUAAAACUCUUUUAGUAGAGAAGCGGUAUCCAAACAGAAAGCCACGGCUAACUACGUGCCAGCAGCCGCGGUAAUAC